GGCAGGAUGGCCGAGUUGGUUAUGGCGCCAGGUUAAGGUCACCUUAAUGAGGUUGUGUACUCAAAAAAUACGCAGCUUAAUCUCCUGGUUCGGGAAACUGAGCGUGGGUUCAAGUCCCACUCCUGUCA